GGGACCGUAGUACUAAACGGCAGAAUGCUCAGACAGGUGUCGGUACUUCACCUCAUACGUGAGAGGUCCGGGUUCGAAUCCCGGCGGUCCCA
rnacentral:tRNA from 1 species